rnacentral:rRNA from 1 species
GACGAACGCUGGCGGCGUGCUUAACACAUGCAAGUCGAACGGAAAGGCCCUGCUUGCAGGGUACUCGAGUGGCGAACGGGUGAGUAACACGUGGGUGAUCUGCCCUGCACUUCGGGAUAAGCCUGGGAAACUGGGUCUAAUACCGGAUAGGAGCCAUUUUUAGUGUGAUGGUUGGAAAGUUUUUUCGGUGUAGGAUGAGCUCGCGGCCUAUCAGCUUGUUGGUGGGGUAAUGGCCUACCAAGGCGGCGACGGGUAGCCGGCCUGAGAGGGUGGACGGCCACAUUUGGACUGGGGUACGGCCCAGACUCCUACGGGAGGCAGCAGUGGGGAAUAUUGCACAAUGGGCGGAAGCCUGAUGCAGCGACGCCGCGUGGGGGAUGACGGCCUUCGGGUUGUAAACUCCUUUCGCUAGGGACGAAGCUGUUUGUGACGGUACCUAGAUAAGAAGCACCGGCUAACUACGUG